rnacentral:tmRNA from 1 species
GGGGGCGCCCUGGGUUCGACGGAGAUAAUUGAUUUCGAGGUGGCAUGCCGAGCUCCCAUCCCUCGUUAAACGGUGGGAAAACACACAAUUGCUGACCAAGAGUUAGCUUUAGCCGCGUAAAAGCCGGCUACGUUCUCCCGGGUUUCGCCCGCCGUGCCCGGGAAGAACGUCAUUCAGGUGGGCUAGCCGGACAUUCGCCCCGCGUGUCCAGCGAAACUUAGGGGAUAGCGACCAUCAGGUCCUUGCCGGCUCCUAACUGAUUGGAAGCGAAGCUUAACGGGAACCGGACACGCAUGUAGAGGCCUCGGAAGAAGAUCUUCGGACGCGGGUUCGAUUCCCGCCGCCUCCACUU